rnacentral:misc_RNA from 1 species
CACUCACACAAACAAAACAAUAUGUGCGUGGGUUGGGGCGUGCGCGCGCCCGCAUUAUGAAUAUACCCUGUCGAUGGGAUCCCUACAGGAGUUGUUAGAACACCCGGUUACUCAUCGCCGAGUGGAAGUGACAUAUGCCUGACGAUUGGCACGUGUUAGUGUAGGUGUGAAUAACUGACGCAGGGGGCACACAGACCUGCGCCAACCGUCGUGCAGCAGGGACUGCAGCGUCACGUGCAGCCUUGCUACCCAUCGCCGACCCUUCCAGCACUUGGCCGCUACAAAGCGCCGCUUGUCUCCUAAUCUGUGCUGCUGAAGUUUCUCGCCGAUUGCGGGUCAUUCCAAGGUACAGGUCUGGGAGGUAUUUUUAGGAGACAGCUACAGAACUUGAGGUGUCUGGUUUGUGACGAUACGGAGAUGUGAAGGUAUUAGCGAGUCCUUGCCAUGCGAUGUGAUCUGAACUGUUUUUCACAUGCUUUCAUACCCCUUUACUGCCUUAGCACUUUGUGCGGGUCAUAUGUACCGUUGCUUGGAACUGUGAGGUUUACUGACAAGCGGGUGGGCUGUUCCGGUUGCAGUUUUAAUGUUGCUUUGAUGUGGGAGUAUAAUCAGAAGAGGAGCACAGAGACGUCUGUAUCUACUUAAGCAACCUGCUAACAUCUGACGUCCACUUUUUUUUUUUUGAAGAAAAGCCUGUUGUGGCUCACCCUUUAGUAGUGGUAUAAAGGUUUCGACUUUCAGUUUAUGUGUCAGUGUUUUAUCCGCCCUUUCCUAGUGUGUCUCGUGGAUACCCCGCCUCCACUAUUCAGUGAGAGCGUUCUUCAGACAGACUGCAGUUUUGCAAAUUUUCCAUUACUACUUGUGUCUGGAGGUAAAGAAGAAAGGGGUUGUGGUGGGGAGAGGAAGUGUCUGAUUUGUACAGGAAGCGUCUAUCUUGAAAACUACUUUGCAGAGGUCGUGUGGAAACCCUGCAAGAAAGGAAUAAGGUUGAAGCCAGAAGCAAAGAGUUGGGGGAGGCUGUUUACAAAACAGGAUAAACAUAAAUUAAAGUAAUAGGUACAAAAGGAGACAGGCAUGCAGGAAGAAGGGGAAAUGAUGCAAGCAACAUUCAGAAGAAAAAAAAACACCAGAGAUGGGGAGAGGGGAAUUUUAAGGGAAUUCUGUAGGGCUGGCUUCCUCUUUCCACUCUUAAUAGUAUGUCUGUCACUUCUGGAGUUUUUGGUAAACUUAAAUUUUUUGACAACCUUGCACCUCUUGGCUUCCUCAGACUGAAACUAGCAGGGUCAGGCUACAUGAUCCUUGUACAAACAUCUCAUUUGGGGGCAUAAGAAACCACUGGUGGGUUUCAGUAUCAGGAGGAAGUGUUUUGCAGCUGGGACAGUGGAUGUAGGGAGAUGUGUUUAUGAUCACAAUCAUAUCGCUGACCCUCUUGCAACAACCACCACCACCACCUGCUUCAGGAGUCAUCACUAGCAGGCACAGGUGUCGAUGAUGUUCGAGUGUUUGAUGAGCGAAGAUGAGGAUGAGUGGGAGGGAGGUGCCAUGCGGGACUCUUAUCAAGGUGUGGGUCAACGCUUUGGUCUGGAGCCAGACCUUUCAGAUGCCGAGUUUCAGCUUCGUCUAGAGGAGUUAAAGGAGGCACUGAAGAAGGAGAUCCGCAAGGAAAUGAAGAUAAAGGAAGGAGCAGAAAAACUGCGUGAGGUUUCCACAGACAAGAAGUCACUCUCCAAUGUCAACAGUAUCGUGAAGAAGGCCAACACCAAGUUGCAGCAGCUGCACCAAGACCUGCAGGAAGUCAACACCUUUCUCUUGCUCACCAACAGUACGCAGGAUAUUUCCACAGAGAGGAUGAAGUCACCAGAGAAGGCAGGGGAUGCCGUGGAUAGUAAUGGAGGAAAUCAGCGUUUGGCUUCACUGCAGAAGCAGCUAGAUAUUGAGAACAAGGUGAAGCAAGGUGCAGAAAACAUGAUUGCCAUGUACAGUUCUGGGUCUUCCCGUGACAAAAAACUACUGGCAGAGGCACAGCAGAUGCUUGCAGAUGCUCGGACAAAGAUAGAGAUCAUUCGCAUGCAAAUGUUGAAGGCUAGUCAGGACAUUUCGUCAAGCACCACUGAAGCUGAUGGUUCACGUUGUGAGAUACUUUCUCCCUUGGAAUUGAGAAUAGAAGAGCUGAGACAUCAUCUGAAGAUUGAAUCAGCUGUGGCUGAAGGUUCAAAAAAUGUCAUUCGCACAUUACAGAAUUCAAAAAUAGAAGACAAGAAAGCAUUGAAAGAGGCUCAGUCAACACUGUGCGAAUCGUCCCAGAAAAUGGAGUUAAUACGAAUGUCACUGGAGAAACGACUUCUGGAACUGGAGCCUGAUACAAGCAAGUCGUCUAAAGUUCAGACUUUGAGGCGAGAGCUGGACGACUUGCUGAACACCACCUACAGUAGCUCUGCUUCACACCGCCUCAGUAACCAGCCACCAACCCCCCGUGCAGCCAACACUUUCAGCAAAGCAGCUGCAGUGACAGGCAAGCUGGAAGUGAGAUUAGUAGGGGUUCAAGGUCUUCUGGAAGAUAUUCCCAUACGGCGGAAAGACAGCAUGUCAUUGUGGAUGGCCUCCCCUGGGGAAAGUCGAAGUCUUCUUCGACGUGGUGGCACCAAAGUGUACAACGUUAAGGAUGAGUUGUCCAAUGAGGUAAUGGCCAUUCUACGACUUGAUAACCAGCAGGUGGCACAAACCUCCUGGAAACCUAACAGUCAGCAGUGCUGGGAUCACAGGUGUUCCAUCGACUUAGACCGGUCACGAGAACUGGAGUUGUCAGUCUACUGGCGAGACUGGCGGCAGAUGUGUGCAACAAAGUUCCUGAGGCUAGAAGACUUUCUAGACAACCAGCGGCAUGGUUUAACGAUACACUUAGAGCCACAAGGCAUAUUAUUUGCAGAGAUUACAUUUUUAAACCCCACCUUGUCGCGUAAACCAAAGCUUCAAAGACAACGGAAAAUCUUUCCAAAGCACAAAGGAAAGAAUUUUCUGCGACCCAAUCAGAUGAACAUCAAUGUUGCUACAUGGGGACGUUUGAUCAAACGAGCCUUACCACAGAAUGGAGCUGACACUAAUAAUAGUUCUCCACAAAUUACCUCUCCUGGAAUAAUGUCAGCUGAUCGGGGCCCUCCAGUUUCUCAGAUAAGUUUUGAAGCUCCACCACUUCCAGAAAAGAUUCAUCGUCAUGCUGCUGAUGAUGUGACGUCUACGGCUAGGGAGAGGCAAGCUACCUCCCAAGAGCGAGAAAUCCAGCAAGCACUUUCCAAAUUUGACUUCCUGCCAGAAGAGCUCAUCACGCCGAACACCUCCUCCAUCAACCUGGACCUGGAUGUCAUCACUGCUCCCCCUUCCAUAUCCACAGCAGAUGCCACCUCCACCACUUCCUCCAGCCAUGCUGAUGUCCCUUCCCAACAGAUAACCACGGCAGAUGUAAAGUCUGUGGUACCCACCAUUCCACGCCAGAAAUCACCACCUCAACAGAAAUCAUCUCCAUCCUUGCCUGUUACACCUCUUCCAUCAGAAAAAACAAGGCCAGCACCCUUACCUCCCUCAACAUCAGAGUCCUUGUUUGCAGGACAACCCUGUUGUAUGGAUGACUUCCGACCUAUAAGUGUUUUGGGUCGAGGCCACUUUGGAAAGGUCCUGCUGACUCAGUAUCGCAGAACUAAUGAGUAUUUUGCCAUCAAAGCUUUGAAGAAAGGUGACAUCAUAGCCCGAGAUGAAGUAGAAAGCUUGAUGUCUGAGAAGCGCAUUUUUGAAGUUAUUAACACCAUGCGUCACCCUUUCCUUGUCAACCUCUUUGCCUGCUUCCAGACGGCAGAGCAUGUAUGUUUUGUCAUGGAAUAUGCCUGCGGUGGUGACCUCAUGAUGCAUAUACACAGUGACGUCUUCACGGAGUCGCGGACUGUCUUCUAUGCAGGUUGUGUGGUACUUGGUCUGCAGUACUUACACGAAAACAAGAUUGUUUACAGGGACCUCAAGCUGGACAACCUGUUGCUGGAUGCUGAAGGCUACCUCAAGAUUGCUGACUUUGGUUUGUGCAAAGAGGGCAUGGGGUUUGGAGAUAGGACCAGCACUUUCUGCGGAACACCUGAAUUUUUGGCACCAGAAGUGCUGACAGAAACAUCCUACACCCGUGCUGUAGACUGGUGGGGUCUUGGGGUACUGAUCUAUGAGAUGCUGGUUGGCGAGUCGCCAUUUCCUGGUGAUGAUGAAGAAGAGGUAUUUGACAGCAUAGUCAAUGAGGAGGUGCGCUACCCACGAUUCCUUUCUACAGAGGCCAUUGCCAUCAUGCGUCGGCUGUUGCGACGAAAUCCUGAUCGCCGUCUUGGCUCCAGUGAAAGAGAUGCAGAAGAUGUGAAGAAGCAAGCAUUUUUCCGGGUAAAUUUGUUGGCAUAAUGCAAGAGACUUUGUGUGCUUCUCAUGUCUAACUUGAUAUUUUUGUCUGUUUCUCUGUAGCUAAUGCGCCGUAAUCCCCAGAAACGAUUAGGAGCCAGUGAACAGGACGCUGAGGAUGUAAAACGACAGUCUUUUUUUCGGAGCUUAGUGUGGAAUGACUUGCUGACUAAGAAAGUGAAGCCACCAUUUGUUCCUACUGUG